CUUAUAACCAAAGCUCCCUGUUAACAGCAGUUUCUAUUGAAGGAUAUCUUCUUAAAAUUGGCUUUCAAAGUAAUUUAGAGGUGUUUAUUCAUAUACUUACAAUGUCUUGAGCUUAGAAACACAUAUUCUUGGAACCAGAAGAAACUUAACUAUUAUUUAAUACAGCUCCCACAUUUUUAGGGUGAAGGAAAAUAAUGCCUAGAGAAGUGAAGGAUUGCCUGAGGUUACUGUGAAGAGCUGUGCCCAGAUACUGAGAACUCGGACUCCUGGACCCAUGUGUGUGGUAUGUGGUUUUCAUCACUGUCCUUGCUGUCGUAGUUUUUGCCCAAUAUCUUGCUUCCUCUUAACUAGAGGCUGAAUGGAAAUUCGAAUAAGCAGUAUGUUCGCCAGUUGCUGUUGAGACAAUUCCAGCUCACGGCCACCUCGUACGUGUCAGAGGAGAACUCUGUUUCACAGGGUUUUUCAACGGCUGAUUUGGGGGAAGAAAAUUGCCAGGGAUUUUUUCUGAGGUGAGGUUAGCAGUCAAGUGCUUUCAGCAUUUGCACCACCCAGGACUUCAAACAGUGUAUUAAAAGGAUAUUCCAUCAAAUACAGAUGUUAUUUCGGCAGGGGUUGUCACAGUGACAACAAUUGGGUGUGAAGACAUCAAAGAGUCAUCCUCUUGUACAGGUAAUACAUCUUCAUUCAACAUCUGGUCACGCUGAAAUGGCAAAAUGAAACCAAAGCAAUAAAGUACUUCCUUUAUACUGGCUCGUAGUUUAAUACAUCAUCUAUAUAAUAAAAAUUGGGGGAAAAGUAAAUAAAAACCACGCUUCCAAAUUGUUCGAAAACACAUUAGGUUCCCAAACUAACCAUAUUUUUCACUGUCCGGUAAUUUCAUGGAAACCCUGGUGGCGUAGUGGUUAAGUGCUACAGCUGCUAAUCAAAGGGUCAGCAGUUCGAAUCCGCCAGGCACUCCUUGGAAACUCUGUGGGGCAGUUCUACUCUGUCCUAUAGGGUCACUAUGAGUCGGAAUCAACUCGACGGCACUGGGUUUGGUUUUUUGAUGGUGAUUUCAUUCACUUCUUCUAUGUAUAACAGCUUCAAUCUCUCCCUCUAAAUGACAGGCCUAGAAUACACAAAACUAAAAACCAAUCCAGUGGCCUGCCAUGGAAUCAGUUCUGACUACGGCGACCCAAUAUGUGUCAGAGUAGAGCUGUGCUCCACAGGGCUUUCAAAGGCUGAUUUUUUGGAAAUAGAUUUCCAGGCCUUUCUUUCUUCUUAGGCAUCUUUGUGUGGACUUGAACCUCCAACCUUUCAGUUAGCAGUGGAACACUUAAACUGUUUGCAUCACCCAGGGACUCCUCCAAAACCAAAAACCAAACCCGUUGAUGUCAAAUUGAUUCCAACGCCUAUCGACCCUACAGGACAGAGUAGAACUGUCCCAAAGGGUCUCCAAGGAGCAGCUGGUGGAUUCAAACUGCUGACCUUACGGUUAGCAGCCGAGUUCUUAACCACUUCUAGGGACUCCUAGAAGACACAAAAGCCCAUUGCCGCCCAGUUGAUUCUGACUCACAGUGAACCUAUACAACAGGCUAGAACUGUCCCAUAGGAUUUCCAAGGCUACAAUCUUUAUAGAAGCAGACUGCCAUAUCUUUCUCCUGAGGAGCAGCUGGUGGGUUCAAACCAUCACCUUUCAGUUAGCAGCUGAGCACUUUGAAUGCUGUACCACCAUUGCUCCUCUAAGAGGACAAAACCAUCUUUGAAUUCAGUUUCUGCUACUUUAGUGUGACUCUUCGAUACUGCCAAACUUUUCAAGCACAGUUUCUGUUUCUGUACAAUGAGAAUGAUACUGCCUCACCUGUUCUUCUGAGAAUUAAAUGAGGAAGGACGUAGAAGUGUCAGGUGUACAGCUGAUGUUCAAUUUUCUUUUUCAUAUCAACUUGUCUUUGGAAUUUGGAAGACUCACAAUUAACGAAAGAAUUAACAGAAGGUAACAUUAGCUUACGCUUGAGUUCUACUAUGCAUCCUCUCAUUCCAGCCCGAGGUUUUGUCAGUCUAACAGAGUGGUUGAGAGGUCUCACACUAUAGUUGGGCUUUUUAGGUUCCUAGCUCGGUUUUUCUACUUCUAGCUAUAUAAGUCCAAGCAAGUCCCUUUGCCCGUUAAUAGGGAUAAUGAUGGAUCUCCUUUUUCUGAGCUGUGCAGAGGAUUCGAGGAGGUAAUGCAUGAAAAGUAUCUGCCAUAGUACCUGGCCUACCGUGAAAACACAGCACCUUAGCUGUUAUUAUUACUCUCAUCCUUAAACAAUUAGAUUCUAAAAUCUAGGUCCCUUAAAUCACUACUAAUUUAAAAAAAACUAGAAAAUUUAUUAGUUCUACUUAAUUAAAAAUAUUUCCAAAAGAGGAACACUCUAUUUUAUUUUUAGUUUUCCACUUUUGUGGCUUCCAUUUAUAAGGAGCAAGAUGUUAUUGCUAAGUAAUGUCUGACGAUCAAGAUACGUUUGACCUGGAUUUUGUUUUUAAGAAGUGGUUUAGGAAAGUAGAAAGAAGCCUGUUCUUGAUGACAGCAAGUUUGACUCUAGUCUUGGUUUUGGGCUGCCAAUUGUCUAUGUGACAUUGGGAAAGUUAUGUUACCUCCCUAGGCCUCAGAUUUUUCACCUGUGAAAUGAGCUAUUUAUUAUAUGAGAUACCACUAUGGUAUCGGUCAAACUCUGGUACAGUGUAUCUUGAUUUAUCUCUCCGCACCCUGACCAAACCCUACAUUGGGAACUUCUUAAGGGCAGGAAAUGUGUUCUAUUCAUUUUUGGGUCCUCUCUAGCAUUUGAUGACUGACUGAUUGGACUGACUGGCAGACUGACUGACUGAAUGAUUGUGUUAGACCAUGUGAUUAAAGUUUCCUUUAAAAACCGAAUACCAAAUUGUUCUGGAAUCUAGUCAGUGUUUUUUAAAUAAAUGUUAUAAUUUAUUAAUUGAUACCCAGGGCAUUUUGAUAUAAGAAGGGCAUCAGGCCAUUUUAGAGAAGGAAGGGCAAAAUAAAUCUUUACUUAUAAUGUUUCAAUAAAUUAUGAAAUCAGCAAUUUUCAAUGCAGAUCAGUAUUUCUCAGUUGGGGGAGAUUUUGAUGCCUAGAGGACAGUGGGAAAUGUGGAGACAACCUGUUCGUCACAAUUGGGGUGCGGGCGCUACCGACAUCUAGUAGGUAAAGGCCAGGGAUGUUGCUAUAUAUCCUACAAUACACAGAACAGCCCGCCACAACGAAGAAUUACCUGUCUCAAAAUGUCAAUGGUUCCAUGGUUGAAAACCCUGAUAUAAAUUAAAAUAUUUAAAGAAGUGAUUAUUGCACAAUAGCUUUUUCACCUUUUAAAAUAGGUUAUGGAAUUUUUGGGCUUAGCCUUAGGGAAACUUGAGGCUUAAAGCAUUUAACAGUGUCUUUUUAUUCUGUCCCAGGAGAGGGCAGUAGUCUACACAGUACAUUACCUCCAAUUCCCUACUUUCACACGUCUACACAGCAUGCAUUUAUAAAUACAAACAGAUAAGAAUACUUACAUGAUCUAAAUAUAAAUAACAAACAGGCCUACUGUCACGGAUUGAAUUGUGUUCCCCCCAAAAAUGUGUCUAUCAAUUUGGCUGGGUCAUGAUUUCCAGUAUUGUGUGGUUGUCCUCCAUUUCGUGAUUAUAAAGUUAAAGAUGAUUAGGGUGGGAUUGUAACACCCUUACCCAGGUCACAUUCCUGAUCCAAUGUAAAGGGAGUUUCCCUGGGGUGUGGCCUGUACCACCUUUUAUCUCUCGAGAGAUAAAAAGGAAAGGGAAGCAAGCAGAGAGCUGGGGACCUUAUACCACCAAGAAAGCAGUGCUGGGAGUAGAGUGCUUCCUCUGGAUCCAGGGUCCCUGUGUGGAGAAGCUCCUAGUCUGGGGGAUGAUUGAUGAAAAGGCCGACAAAGAGAGAAAGGCUUCCCCUGGAGCUGACACCCUGAAUUUGGACUUUUAGCCUACUUUGCUGUGGAGAAAUAAAUUUCUCUUUGUUAAAGCCAUCCACUUGUGGUACUUCUGUGAUAGCAGCAAUAGAUGACUGAGACACCUACCUUUCUGAAAAAAAGUUCUGUAGGUUUGAUAUAAGCUUGAGAACUUCAGUUUCAGGCCCCUUGUGGGCACAGCGAAUAAUAAUAGUAAUUGUACAUACAUCUCAGAAGCUUUUAAGCUUAUAAGAUGGAGAACAACGUUCUUAUUUGACAGAGAAGAAAACUGACUUAAAGAAGUUACGAAACUUGCUCUAGGCCACAUUCCCUGUCACACAUUUAAGAAAUCAUGAGUCCAGUGAUUUCUGCCAAUCAAGAUAAUUUUGACUUUGAUUUUGUUUUUAAGAAGUUUAGGUAAGUAGAAAGAAGCCUGUUCCUGGUGACAAGAAAGUUGACUCUAGUCUUGGUUUUGCUACCAAGUGUCUGUGUGACAUUUGGAAAGUUAUAUUACAUCCCUGGGCCUCAGAUGUUUUACCCAUGAAAUGAGCUGUUUAUCAUAUGAGGUGCCACCAUGGUACUUGUCAAAUUCUCUUACAGUGUGCCUUGAUUUAACUGAUCCUUUCCAUGACCAGACCCCAAAUCUGGAACUCCUCAAGUGCAGAAAAUGUGCCCUUAUCUCUUCAAUGCACAAUUUCAGCAACCUUUUUUUAAGGUAAGUAGUUUACAAAGUGAGGAUUAGAAAUUUUUCAGAGAGUUAGUACCUAUUGUUUUGAACACAGAAUUGGCAUUUUCUAAGCCAGCUAUUUCUUUUUUCUUGCCUUGCUACAUGUUCUUAAGUAACUCCAUCAAAGAAAAUCCCAGAUUGUGGUGGUCAUUUGUUCUCCAGGCAUCGAAUCUACGUGAGGUGUAAUUCUGCAGGAGUCAGCUGACUCUACCCCAUCCUCGCAAUGGAAUUCCCAAGUAACCACUGCACUGGAUCCCCUGACUGAAGACCCUGCUCAUAGUCCAAAGGCUCCAAACUACAUUGUACAAGGGAAGUAGAGAUUCUGGAGUUUGUGUGUCCAGGGCUUACCAUUUGCCACUCUUUUUCUGCAUGUUCUACUCCCAGGUACUCGAAGAAGGAAGCAAAUCCUUCAUUUAGCCACAAGUCAUCCCACCAGUCCAUGGUCACAAUAUUUCCAAACCACUGAAAUUAUAAGCAAUAAGAAGGUAAAACAGAGCAUCUGUUUUUGGAAUAAGCUGUGAAGAAUAAGAGAACAAAAUUUUCAAAUAAGAACUUGGAAGUACAGAGCUUCUAAGUGUACAGAAAUAGAUUUCUACCCAAGGGUACAGAAUAUUGGAUAAUACAUAAAUUCUACUUUUUUUCCUUGUUCUACACAAUUUGAGGUCAACCUGAUUCCCUACCAAUCUAAUAGAUUAUGUCCCACUUACAUGUAUUAAAUAAGUUGAAGAAAUAUGGAUUGACUAUAUUCUUUCUAAAUUCUCUUCCAGAUUUAAAAUUUUGGGUUCUAAGAGGGCUUUCUCUUCCUUACUUUUGCUGGGGCCUAUAAUAGCAGAUAUAAUAUCUGAUAGGAGGAGACUGUGUCCAUCAGUUCUAUAUUAAAUUUCAGUGCUCAACUUGUUAGCAGACAAAAUAUAACUUCCCCAGUUAAUGAACUAAGGUCAAAAUGUAUUUUUUUAAAAUAACUACAUAUGAUUUAAAUGAAGCAUUUAAAUGAAAAUCAAUUGAGUUUUCCUUUACCAUCUAAGAAAAGGCUUCUUCUUUUUGGUUAAAAGAAAGAUUCUUAAAGGUUUUUUAUAAAAGAGUGAAAAUGGGUAUAUCUUAAAUGGAGGUCAAGAUUACAGCAGUAGUUUCCUUUUCAUGGUAUCUUCAUUAGUAGGGUUGGUUACUUUGUCACUUAAAAGGUAGAUAAAUAUUCAUUCCCCCAAGGGCCAAUAUUUUAUGUAUUGCACAUAAUACUUAAACAAAAGAAAUUUUUAUAACCUCAGUUCUUUGGUGAGUGUUGUCAUUUAUAAUUAUCUCCAGCACAUUUUACUUUUUUGAGUAUAAUAAGUGCAAGUGUUAUUUCUAAGGAAAUGCUAAGAUAGAGUCAACUCUGACGGGGUUGAAAAUGCAUAUAAAAGAGUUAGAGGAAGAAGGAAUGAAAAAGGUGGAGGAGGAGACAGAGAGGAAGAGAAGAAAGAACUAAAUUUGUUAGAGUCCACUUUCCAAGGUAAACUGGGUGGUACAAGUGAGAUAAAAGGGAAAAAGACUUUUAGGUUAAUGUGCUUAAUAUUUUAUUAAAUAUUAUUCUGGUUUUAAUGAAAAGUUGUUUCUCUUUCAAUCUCCUAAAAUGGUUGUUACGCAAUUAAAAAAAAAAAAUGGAGCUGCUGCCAUCGAAGAGAAAAUGCAACGUCUACAAACUUGUUCAGAGCCAUCGCUGUUUCCAUGCAGAGAAUGUGGCAUCCAAUUGUUUUGCAUAGAUAAUUGAUUAAAGUAAAAUAAGAAACAGAAUUAGGGAAGGCAAUUGUUGGUUAGUUUUCCUGCCGCCUGUAUUUCAUUCUUAUAGACAUACAUAUAGGUUUUAUCAUUAAGAUGAUGAUUUGCUAACCACCACUCAAGCUUGGAAACCCUGGUGGUGUAGUGGUUAAGAGCUACGGCUGCUAACCAAAAGGUCGGCAGUUCGAAUCCACCAGGUGCUCCUUGGAAAUCCUAUGGGGCAGUUCUACUCUGUCCUAUAUUGUCGCUAUGAGUUGGAAUUGACUCGAUGGCAAUGGGUUUGGUCUUUUUUUU